GGUGGCUCAUUGGUAGAGUGCUUGCCUUGCAUGCAUGAGACCCUGGGUUCGAUUCCUCAGUACCA
rnacentral:tRNA from 1 species